GAACUUCAACAACUCUUAGAGCGGGAGGAGUUGCAUUUUUUACUGAUUUCAGUACGGAGAGAAUUUGUCUAAUUUUUCUUCUCUCCCUCCUAACCGCCACUGUAGGAGUGCAUGGAUCCCUCACCUUAUUGGAUGCUAUGACACCCCUUCUCGAUUUCAAUUCCUCAGCAACUUCAGCAAUAGCCUCUAGCUUUUUAAGGAGUUUAUCCUC
rnacentral:lncRNA from 1 species